rnacentral:lncRNA from 1 species
GUAGGGCAGGAGGGAAUUGUCCACAACAAGAACAGAAAGUGAAACCCAGGGAAAAAUUUACUCAUUGAAGAGAAGAGGAAACUGUGGUAAUUUGAAUGCAUUUGGCCCCAUGAUCUCUUAGGGAGUGGCACUAUUAGGACGUGUGGUUUUGUUGGAGUAGGUAUGGCCUUGUUGGAGGAAAUGUGUCACUGGCUUUGAGGUUUCCUAUGCUCAGGAUACUGCCCAGUGAGUCAGUUGACUUCCUGUUGCCUCUGAGUCAAGAUGUAGGACUCUCAGCGCUCCAUGUCUACCAUCCUCACCACGAUGAUAAUGGACUGAACCUCUGAAACUGGUCCAUAAAUCUUGUGAUGUGAGCUCAUGGACUUUAAGCAGCCUCAAGAACUUUGAAGAAUGAAAUAUUUAGCAAGGAGACAAGUGACUGCUGUUAUGGAAACGGAUAUUACCCACCCAGCAGUGGUGUGUUCUAAGUGCUUGACAUUCCAAUCUUAAAACCCAAGAAGUGGGUCUGUGAGGUGGCUCCACAGGUGGAGAUGCAUUGCAGGCCUGGAGACCUAGGCUGGAUGGAUUCUCGUGACCCAGCUGUUUUACAGACACCUGGGAAUGAGUGCUGUUACUGUAUCAGUGAGUCUGGCCUGGCGGAAACUAAUAUCAAGUCGCUCUGCAAAUUGUCUGAAGACUUCACCAAUAUGACCAGGGCAUCUCUCGGUUCCAUCUUCCUGGCAAUCUUCACUGUUCCCAAGGCUAGUCCCACUCAUAGAGCUUGUGGAUCUGUGGCUGAGGCCACGUAUUGCUGGGAACCUCCUUCAUGGAGCAAUCUCUUCAUGACAGAACACCAAUGUCAGCAGUACCAUCCUGGUCAACCCACACCUGACAGAGAAGACUCCAUGGUGAAGGACCUUCAAGCAUGCUAGUCAGUUGCCAUAGUGACCUUCUCAAAGGGUUCUCUUUGGGCUGAGACAGAUCAGGUGGAGAGGCUCUUGGCCUGUGUUUUAGUUUCCUUUGCUAGUGCUGUGAUAACAAUCCUUUGACAGAAUCAACUUAAGGGAGAGGGUUUGUGCAGGUCCACAGUUCAAGGUUACGGUCCAUAACGGUGGGAAAUCAGGCAGAUCUUGAAGCGGUUGGUCACAUCAUAGCCACAAUGUGUAGGGGUAGGGAGACGCCCUAGCCCCGCCCCAGGCAACCUGAACAGGUGCCAGGUGGACCCCGGACUCACCCAUGAGGGCGGGGUAAAGGGAAGUCAGGAUGAUGUAAGGGAAGCUUCUUAAGAGAUGUAUGUGGAGACCUUGGCCCCUUCUCUCUGGCCGCGCUAGCUUGCUUCCUGUGAACUCGCUCUGGCUUGCGUUUUGCUCAGGUGUUUACCUGAAUAAAGAAGUCUUACCAUCACGGACUAUAGUUCA